GACGAACGCUGGCGGCGUGCCUAAUACAUGCAAGUCGAGCGAACAGACGAGGAGCUUGCUCCUCUGACGUUAGCGGCGGACGGGUGAGUAACACGUGGGUAACCUACCUAUAAGACUGGGAUAACUUCGGGAAACCGGAGCUAAUACCGGAUAAUAUCUUGAACCGCAUGGUUCAAUAGUGAAAGACGGUUUUGCUGUCACUUAUAGAUGGAUCCGCGCCGCAUUAGCUAGUUGGUAAGGUAACGGCUUACCAAGGCAACGAUGCGUAGCCGACCUGAGAGGGUGAUCGGCCACACGGGAACUGAGACACGGUCCAGACUCCUACGGGAGGCAGCAGUAGGGAAUCUUCCGCAAUGGGCGAAAGCCUGACGGAGCAACGCCGCGUGAGUGAUGAAGGUCUUCGGAUCGUAAAACUCUGUUAUUAGGGAAGAACAAAUGUGUAAGUAACUAUGCACGUCUUGACGGUACCUAAUCAGAAAGCCACGGCUAACUACGUG
rnacentral:rRNA from 1 species